rnacentral:rRNA from 1 species
AUUGAACGCUGGCGGCAUGCCUUACACAUGCAAGUCGAACGGCAGCGGGGGAGAAGCUUGCUUUUCCUGCCGGCGAGUGGCGAACGGGUGAGUAAUACAUCGGAACGUGCCCUGUAGUGGGGGAUAACUAGUCGAAAGAUUAGCUAAUACCGCAUACGACCUGAGGGUGAAAGUGGGGGACCGCAAGGCCUCAUGCUAUAGGAGCGGCCGAUGUCUGAUUAGCUAGUUGGUGGGGUAAAGGCCUACCAAGGCGACGAUCAGUAGCUGGUCUGAGAGGACGAUCAGCAAAACUGGGACUGAGACACGGCCCAGACUCCUACGGGAGGCAGCAGUGGGGAAUUUUGGAAAAUGGGCGAAAGCCUGAUCCAGCAAUGCCGCGUGUGAAGAAGGCCUUCGGGUUGUAAAGCACUUUUGUCCGGAAAGAAAUGGCUCUGGUUAAUACCUGGGGUCGAUGACGGUACCGGAAGAAUAAGGACCGGCUAACUACGUGCCAGCAGCCGCGGUAA